GACGAACGCUGGCGGCGUGCUUAACACAUGCAAGUCGAGCGAUGAAGCACCUUCGGGUGUGAAUUAGCGGCGAACGGGUGAGGAACACGUGAGAAAUCUGCCUUCAACUCUGGGAUAACUCCGUGAAAACGGGGCUAAUACCGGAUAUGAAACCUGCGGGCAUCCGCGGGUUUGGAAAGUUUUUCGGUUGAAGAUGAUCUCGCGGCCUAUCAGCUUGUUGGUGAGGUAAUGGCUCACCAAGGCGACGACGGGUAGCCGGCCUGAGAGGGUGAUCGGCCACAUUGGGACUGAGACACGGCCCAGACUCCUACGGGAGGCAGCAGUGGGGAAUAUUGAACAAUGGGGGAAACCCUGAUGCAGCAAUGCCGCGUGAGUGAUGACGGCCUUCGGGUUGUAAAGCUCUGUCUUCGGGGACGAUAAUGACGGUACCCGAGGAGGAAGCCACGGCUAACUACGUGCCAGCAGCCGCCGUAA
rnacentral:rRNA from 1 species